rnacentral:rRNA from 1 species
GACGAACGCUGGCGGCGUGCUUAACACAUGCAAGUCGAACGGAAAGGCCCUGCUUUUGUGGGGUGCUCGAGUGGCGAACGGGUGAGUAACACGUGAGUAACCUGCCCUUGACUUUGGGAUAACUUCAGGAAACUGGGGCUAAUACCGGAUAGGAGCUCCUGCUGCAUGGUGGGGGUUGGAGAGUUUCGGCGGUUGGGGAUGGACUCGCGGCUUAUCAGCUUGUUGGUGGGGUAGUGGCUUACCAAGGCUUUGACGGGUAGCCGGCCUGAGAGGGUGACCGGCCACAUUGGGACUGAGAUACGGCCCAGACUCCUACGGGAGGCAGCAGUGGGGAAUAUUGCACAAUGGGCGGAAGCCUGAUGCAGCAACGCCGCGUGCGGGAUGACGGCCUUCGGGUUGUAAACCGCUUUCGCCUGUGACGAAGCGUGAGUGACGGUAAUGGGUAAAGAAGCACCGGCUAACUACGUGCCAGCAGCCGCGGUGAUACGUAGGGUGCGAGCGUUGUCCGGAUUUAUUGGGCGUAAAGGGCUCGUAGGUGGUUGAUCGCGUCGGAAGUGUAAUCUUGGGGCUUAACCCUGAGCGUGCUUUCGAUACGGGUUGACUUGAGGAAGGUAGGGGAGAAUGGAAUUCCUGGUGGAGCGGUGGAAUGCGCAGAUAUCAGGAGGAACACCAGUGGCGAAGGCGGUUCUCUGGGCCUUUCCUGACGCUGAGGGGCGAAAGCGUGGGGAGCGAACAGGCUUAGAUACCCUGGUAGCCCACGCUGUAAACGGUGGGUACUAGGUGUGGGGUCCAUUCCACGGGUUCCGUGCCGUAGCUAACGCUUUAAGUACCCCGCCUGGGGAGUACGGCCGCAAGGCUAAAACUCAAAGGAAUUGACGGGGCCCCGCACAAGCGGCGGAGCAUGCGGAUUAAUUCGAUGCAACGCGUAGAACCUUACCUGGGUUUGACAUGGAUCGGGAGUGCUCAGAGAUGGGUGUGCCUCUUUUGGGGUCGGUUCACAGGUGGUGCAUGCCUGUCGUCAGCUCGUGUCGUGAGAUGUUGGGUUAAGUCCCGCAACGAGCGCAACCCUUGUUCACUGUUGCCAGCACGUUAUGGUGGGGACUCAGUGGAGACCGCCGGGGUCAACUCGGAGGAAGGUGGGGAUGACAUCAAGUCAUCAUGCCCCUUAUGUCCAGGGCUUCACGCAUGCUACAAUGGCUGGUACAGAGAGUGGCGAGCCUGUGAGGGUGAGCGAAUCUCGGAAAGCCGGUCUCAGUUCGGAUUGGGGUCUGCAACUCGACCUCAUGAAGUCGGAGUCGCUAGUAAUCGCAGAUCAGCAACGCUGCGGUGAAUACGUUCCCGGGGCU